UUAAGUUAUUAAGGGCGCACGGUGGAUGCCUUGGCACUAGAAGCCGAUGAAGGACGUUACUAACGACGAUAUGCUUUGGGGAGCUGUAAGUAAGCUUUGAUCCAGAGAUUUCCGAAUGGGGAAACCCAGCAUGAGUUAUGUCAUGUUAUCGAUAUGUGAAUACAUAGCAUAUCAGAAGGCACACCCGGAGAACUGAAACAUCUUAGUACCCGGAGGAAGAGAAAGAAAAUUCGAUUCCCUUAGUAGCGGCGAGCGAAACGGGAAGAGCCCAAACCAACAAGCUUGCUUGUUGGGGUUGUAGGACACUCUAUACGGAGUUACAAAGGACGACAUUAGACGAAUCAUCUGGAAAGAUGAAUCAAAGAAGGUAAUAAUCCUGUAGUCGAAAAUGUUGUCUCUCUUGAGUGGAUCCUGAGUACGACGGAGCACGUGAAAUUCCGUCGGAAUCUGGGAGGACCAUCUCCUAAGGCUAAAUACUCUCUAGUGACCGAUAGUGAACCAGUACCGUGAGGGAAAGGUGAAAAGCACCCCGGAAGGGGAGUGAAAUAGAACCUGAAACCGUGUGCUUACAAGUAGUCAGAGCCCGUUAAUGGGUGAUGGCGUGCCUUUUGUAGAAUGAACCGGCGAGUUACGAUUUGAUGCAAGGUUAAGCAGUAAAUGUGGAGCCGUAGCGAAAGCGAGUCUGAAUAGGGCGUUUAGUAUUUGGUCGUAGACCCGAAACCAGGUGAUCUACCCUUGGUCAGGUUGAAGUUCAGGUAACACUGAAUGGAGGACCGAACCGACUUACGUUGAAAAGUGAGCGGAUGAACUGAGGGUAGCGGAGAAAUUCCAAUCGAACCUGGAGAUAGCUGGUUCUCUCCGAAAUAGCUUUAGGGCUAGCCUCAAGUGAUGAUUAUUGGAGGUAGAGCACUGUUUGGACGAGGGGCCCCUCUCGGGUUACCGAAUUCAGACAAACUCCGAAUGCCAAUUAAUUUAACUUGGGAGUCAGAACAUGGGUGAUAAGGUCCGUGUUCGAAAGGGAAACAGCCCAGACCACCAGCUAAGGUCCCAAAAUAUAUGUUAAGUGGAAAAGGAUGUGGCGUUGCCCAGACAACUAGGAUGUUGGCUUAGAAGCAGCCAUCAUUUAAAGAGUGCGUAAUAGCUCACUAGUCGAGUGACACUGCGCCGAAAAUGUACCGGGGCUAAACAUAUUACCGAAGCUGUGGAUUGUCCUUUGGACAAUGGUAGGAGAGCGUUCUAAGGGCGUUGAAGCAUGAUCGUAAGGACAUGUGGAGCGCUUAGAAGUGAGAAUGCCGGUGUGAGUAGCGAAAGACGGGUGAGAAUCCCGUCCACCGAUUGACUAAGGUUUCCAGAGGAAGGCUCGUCCGCUCUGGGUUAGUCGGGUCCUAAGCUGAGGCCGACAGGCGUAGGCGAUGGAUAACAGGUUGAUAUUCCUGUACCACCUAUAAUCGUUUUAAUCGAUGGGGGGACGCAGUAGGAUAGGCGAAGCGUGCGAUUGGAUUGCACGUCUAAGCAGUAAGGCUGAGUAUUAGGCAAAUCCGGUACUCGUUAAGGCUGAGCUGUGAUGGGGAGAAGACAUUGUGUCUUCGAGUCGUUGAUUUCACACUGCCGAGAAAAGCCUCUAGAUAGAAAAUAGGUGCCCGUACCGCAAACCGACACAGGUAGUCAAGAUGAGAAUUCUAAGGUGAGCGAGCGAACUCUCGUUAAGGAACUCGGCAAAAUGACCCCGUAACUUCGGGAGAAGGGGUGCUCUUUAGGGUUAACGCCCAGAAGAGCCGCAGUGAAUAGGCCCAAGCGACUGUUUAUCAAAAACACAGGUCUCUGCUAAACCGUAAGGUGAUGUAUAGGGGCUGACGCCUGCCCGGUGCUGGAAGGUUAAGAGGAGUGGUUAGCUUCUGCGAAGCUACGAAUCGAAGCCCCAGUAAACGGCGGCCGUAACUAUAACGGUCCUAAGGUAGCGAAAUUCCUUGUCGGGUAAGUUCCGACCCGCACGAAAGGCGUAACGAUUUGGGCACUGUCUCAACGAGAGACUCGGUGAAAUCAUAGUACCUGUGAAGAUGCAGGUUACCCGCGACAGGACGGAAAGACCCCGUGGAGCUUUACUGUAGCCUGAUAUUGAAAUUCGGCACAGCUUGUACAGGAUAGGUAGGAGCCUUUGAAACGUGAGCGCUAGCUUACGUGGAGGCGCUGGUGGGAUACUACCCUAGCUGUGUUGGCUUUCUAACCCGCACCACUUAUCGUGGUGGGAGACAGUGUCAGGCGGGCAGUUUGACUGGGGCGGUCGCCUCCUAAAAGGUAACGGAGGCGCUCAAAGGUUCCCUCAGAAUGGUUGGAAAUCAUUCAUAGAGUGUAAAGGCAUAAGGGAGCUUGACUGCGAGACCUACAAGUCGAGCAGGGUCGAAAGACGGACUUAGUGAUCCGGUGGUUCCGCAUGGAAGGGCCAUCGCUCAACGGAUAAAAGCUACCCCGGGGAUAACAGGCUUAUCUCCCCCAAGAGUUCACAUCGACGGGGAGGUUUGGCACCUCGAUGUCGGCUCAUCGCAUCCUGGGGCUGUAGUCGGUCCCAAGGGUUGGGCUGUUCGCCCAUUAAAGCGGUACGCGAGCUGGGUUCAGAACGUCGUGAGACAGUUCGGUCCCUAUCCGUCGUGGGCGUAGGAAAUUUGAGAGGAGCUGUCCUUAGUACGAGAGGACCGGGAUGGACAUACCUCUGGUGUACCAGUUGUCGUGCCAACGGCAUAGCUGGGUAGCUAUGUGUGGACGGGAUAAGUGCUGAAAGCAUCUAAGCAUGAAGCCCCCCUCAAGAUGAGAUUUCCCAACUUCGGUUAUAAGAUCCCUCAAAGAUGAUGAGGU
rnacentral:rRNA from 2 species